UGUCAAGACAACAGUUCGUAAUUGUACCAGCUCUUUCCAUUGCAGCUAGACAUUUCAUAAAUAGAUAAUUCUCUAAUUGAUCCAGCCAAUCCUACUUUGCAUACCCUGCCAAACUAGCACAGGCUCUUUACUGCAGUCCUGAUUUCUGUAUUAAUGAAUUGAGAAGAUGACAUCAGGCUCUUAGGCAUCCACAUUUGGAAGCAAUGACCUGUGUAGGAAACAAUUUCUGUGGUGAAACUGGAAACCAGGAUCGGACUUAAUAACUAUUCAUCAAGCAGGUAAACCACAUUCC
rnacentral:lncRNA from 1 species